UACAGAGGUCUCAAGCGUUGUUCGGAUUCAUUGGGCGUAAAGGGUGCGUAGGCGGCGCGGUAAGUCGGGUGUGAAAUCUCGGAGCUUAACUUCGAAACUGCAUUCGAUACUGCCGUGCUUGAGGACUGGAGAGGAGACUGGAAUUUACGGUGUAGCGGUGAAAUGCGUAGAUAUCGUAAGGAAGACCAGUGGCGAAGGCGGGUCUCUGGACAGUUCCUGACGCUGAGGCACGAAGGUCAGGGAGCAAACGGG
rnacentral:rRNA from 1 species